GAUCAUGGCUCAGGAUGAACGCUAGCUACAGGCUUAACACAUGCAAGUCGAGGGGCAGCGCAGUGUAGCAAUACAUGGGCGGCGACCGGCGCACGGGUGCGUAACGCGUAUCCAACCUUCCCGUUACUCAGGGAUAGCCUUCCGAAAGGGAGAUUAAUACCUGAUGGUGUUUGAAUUCCGCAUGUUAUUCAAACUAAAGAUUUAUCGGUAACGGAUGGGGAUGCGUGACAUUAGGUAGAUGGCGGGGUAACGGCCCACCAUGGCGACGAUGUCUAGGGGUUCUGAGAGGAAGGUCCCCCACACUGGAACUGAGACACGGUCCAGACUCCUACGGGAGGCAGCAGUGAGGAAUAUUGGUCAAUGGUCGAAGGACUGAACCAGCCAUGCCGCGUGAAGGUGACGGCCCUAUGGGUCUUAAACUUCUUUUGUAAGGGAGCAAUAAGUUCUACGUGUAGGAUGAUGAGAGUACCUUACGAAUAAGCAUCGGCUAACUCCGUG
rnacentral:rRNA from 1 species